GGAGCAGGCAGCAGGAGCACGGCUCACCCGCCCGCCCGCCCGCCCAGCGCUCCCGGCUCCCAGCCCGGGGUCCCGGAGCAGCCCGCUAGGCGGUGGCGGUGGCGGCGGCGAGGAGGGGGCGUCGGGCGCGGAGCCUGGGCCUGGCGCGGGGCGGGGGUGGCGGGGACCUCGGGGCGGGGCGCGCUGACGGACGCGGCCAGGUGUGCCGAGGCGGCGGCGCCCGGGAGCUCGGGGACCGUGCGCAGCGGCUGGAGCGUUGGGCCGGAGCACUAGCCUCACGGAGAAGGAUCUGAAAGAAGCCAAGGCGCGGAGCCAGCAGAUUGCAGCCCAGCUGACCACCCCUCCCAGCUCCAAUUCCCGUGGCGUCCAGCUCUUCAACAGGCGCCGGCAGAGGGUGAACGAGUUCACCUUGGAGAGCCACGGCCAGAGGGGACAGAAGCCCAGCCAGGAGUCCCUCAGAGUGCUCCCUUCAAGCCUCCCAGGCCAUGCACCGGGGCUCAGCCUGAGUUCCACCUCGCUGCCGGAGCCAGGCCCUCCACGGCACCCCAGUCCCCAGAGCCCCGACAGAGGGGUCCCUGGCCACAGCAUGGAGGGGUACUCAGAGGAGGCUAGCUUGCUGCGGCACCUGGAGAAGGUGGCCAGUGAGGAGGAAGAGGUACCACUGGUGGUUUAUCUAAAGGAGAAUGCAGCACUGCUGACAGCCAAUGGGCUGCACCUGUCCCAAAACCGAGAGGCCCAGCAGUCCUCACCGGCCCCACCUCCAGCUGAGGUCCACAGCCCAGCUGCAGAUGUCAACCAAAACCUUGCCUCGCCCAGUGCCACGCUCACCACACC
rnacentral:lncRNA from 1 species